AUACGGAGGGUGCGAGCGUUAAUCGGAAUUACUGGACGUAAAGCGUACGUAGGCGGUUGGUUAAGUUAGAUGUGAAAGCCCCGGGCUUAACCUGGGAACUGCAUUUAAAACUGGCGAACUAGAGUUGAGUAGAGGGGAGUGGAAUUUCAGGUGUAGCGGUGAAAUGCGUAGAGAUCUGAAGGAACACCAGUGGCGAAGGCGACUCCCUGGACUCGAACUGACGCUGAGGUACGAAAGCGUGGGUAGCAAACGGUAUUAGAAACCCUAGUAGUCC
rnacentral:rRNA from 1 species